UACGUAGGGUGCGAGCGUUAAUCGGAAUUACUGGGCGUAAAGCGUGCGCAGGCGGUUUUGUAAGCCAGAUGUGAAAUCCCCGGGCUUAACCUGGGAAUGGCAUUUGGGACUGCAAGGCUUGAGUGCGGCAGAGGAGACUGGAAUUCCUGGUGUAGCAGUGAAAUGCGUAGAUAUGUGGAGGAAUACCGAUGGCGAAGGCAGCCCCCUGGGAUAACACUGACGCUCAUGCACGAAAGCGUGGGGAGCAAACAGG
rnacentral:rRNA from 1 species